AUGUAUAUAGUAUAAAUAUUACAAUAGACUUUCAAGCUAUAAAUGAUCUCAAUUCUAUACAUC
rnacentral:tRNA from 1 species